rnacentral:rRNA from 1 species
AUGGCGCCAUCCGAGUCCCAGCAUCUCGCCUUGUUCCUCGCCAUCGUCAUCACCGCCGCCACGCUGUUCCCCUCGGCGGCCGCCGUCCCUGCCAAGGCCCCUGCUCCCUCCGCCAGCAACGAUGCAGUAGCAAAACCAUUGGCAUGGUGUAUGAUUCCUUGCCUUCCGAUCCUGCCACCCAUAUUGUGUGUACCACCGAUAUUCUGUCCCCCAACGCCUAGCGCUCCACCACCGCCAUCCCCUUUCAAGCCGCACCCGAAGGAGUGCCUACCGUCACUGAUGGGACUGAUGCCAUGUAAGGAUUUCCUCACCAACAGCACCGCGCCCAAGCCUCCACGCCAAGGCAAGUGCUGUGACGGCGUCCGGUCACUCUUCCAAAACUUUCCCAUCUGCCUUUGCCACGUGUUCAACGGCGGCGACCUUGACAAACUCAUGUCGGCACCCAUCGAUGGAGGCCAACUCUUUGGUCUCUCGUCUGCCUGUAACACCAGUCCGAGUGACUUUGUACCCUGCUACG